ACAUCUGUGAGGUUCAAAACAAUAUAUGGUAUCGAUAAAUUCUCAUUGCAAUUUAAAGAAAUAUUUUUAACUUUACUUUACUAUAUUUUACAAUACUUUACUAUAUUUUACAAUAGCUGGAGAAAAACUUGUACAUCAAAAGUGUUAUUAUUCAACUUCCCCCUUUUUGUUGGCGUUAAAUAGACGUCCCAAUGAAACAUGCUUAUUAGGAAAGUAGGAAAGAUAAUCACCAAAAACGGAUUAUUUCAAUAAGUUUUAUUAAAUUUUUCUUAAUGUGCAACAUUGAUAUUAUACAUAUGAUAAGGAAAAAGCAAAAAAAAAAUAAUUAUCUGGAUUCAUUUCCAAUUGUUGAAUGUACUUCUAUUCUCAGAUAUAAAUUGGCCACACCCAAUGCGAUUUACUAAGCAAAAACCUAUUUUGGAAGUAUGAGCAAACGAAUAAAACGUAAGAUGGGUUUCAAAAUAAAAUUUUCAAUAUUGAUUUGCACACUCUGCUAAUAUGAGUCUCGUUUCGAAGCAAUUUAUGUUAGGAGAUUUCUAAAAAUAUAUAAAAACUCUAAUGCACAAGCACUAUUCAACCAGAGUCGUUCUGGAAUGAGGUCAAAGUCAGUACAUUUUGUUAUUAUGCAAUUGAAAGCAAUAUUUGCUCGGUAAUGGGAAUACUUGCAACUGUCAAACCGAUGACUCGAUAACGAUACAAAUAUAGAAGUAAAAUCAACAACUUGCCUCGUAAUAUUUAAGCAACUCAAUAUGUUUUUUCUCACCCCCAACCCCCCAGCACGUACGCCCUCGACAAAAAUGUAUAAAAGAAGCAUAUUACUCCUCGAAGUCACAUACUUUUAUUCGGGAUUCACACAACUGCAGAAAGGGUAUGCAAGCGAUUAAUAUGUCCCGAUUAAGCAUUCUGCUGAUUGCUUUAUACUUUUCGGCAACUAGAACCAAAGCUGACGAUGUUUUGCCGUAUGAAGAAUCUGGUGUGGAUUCAGAACCGGUUGAGGAACAGUGCUGUAUCGAUAUGCAAACUCAAAUCGAUGAAUUAAAAGGACACGUCGCAGCAUUGCAAACACAACUGACGAGCUUGCAAAGUAGAGUAGAACAAAUAGAAGAAACAAUCAACUACACAGACCCAAAAAUAUCAUGCGAACACUACAAACUCAGUGGCUACGAUUCCGGAUACUAUGAAAUAGAUCCAGACGGUCCCAAAGGUUCUAUACCACCGUUUCAAGUUUACUGCAACAUGACAUCAGAUCCAGAAUGGGCCGUUACGAUGUUGGGACAUAAUUCUGAAGAAAGGACGUACGUCUAUGGCUGCCAGGAUCCAGGUUGCUUUUCUCAUAACAUCACAUACAAUCAAACCUGGGAACAAAUCCAAGCUGUCAUGUGGACAUCAAGAUCCUGUCAACAAUAUCUGUCGUACGAAUGUCUUGGAUCAAUGCUGUUCUCUUACAAUGAUUAUGCGUGGUGGGUGUCGAGAGAUGGCGAAGAGCAACAUUACUGGGCUGGAGCCGAUCCAGGUUCAAAUUUAGUUUACAUUUGAUCAUUCGUGUUUUACUUCCAAGAUUUUUUAAUCAGACCUGAAAAAAAUUGUAUCUGGCAGGAAGCAAUAUGUGUGAAUGCGGAAAAAAAGGAACAUGCGAAGGGAAAUCCACUACUUGUAACUGUGAUAAUAAUGACUUAGUUUGGAGACAAGAUGACGGGUAUAUAUCUUCGAAGGAUACUUUGCCUGUAACUCAGCUCUUCUUUGGAGACGUUUUAGGUGCUGAAGAAAGGGGAUAUUUUACUCUUGGAAAAUUGGAAUGUAAAGGACAAGGUAUUUAUCCCAAGUUGCUAAGUCGAGACACCAAUUCUAUAAUAAACUGUGAAUAAAAUAAUAAUUGAAGCUAAUUGAAUAUGCAUUAAAAGAAGAGACAGAUAAAACAGGUACCCAGAUCAUAUUUGAAAUGAAAUCUAGAACUAUUUUCAUUUCAAUGCAAUUGCAAGAAGAAUUAUUUUAUAAUGUACAUAAACAUUUUUACUUUUAUCAUUUUAUCUUUAAAUUCAAAUUUAAUUAGUUGACUUAUAUCUUCCCGUGAGUUACAAUGAAAUAAGUGUGAUUUUCAAGCUAUUCACAUGUGUAAAAGGUAAGUAAACAGUAGAAACGUUUACGUGUGCGAGAGCAAAGGUAUUUCUCUUUGCUACGGUGAAGUUCAUCUGAUACAAUUAAUUCUAACAUACAUUUCGACCGUUUUUUUUUAAAUUUCAGUGAGCACCAAGGAUUGUGCUGGUCUCAAGAAAGACGGAAACCCGUCAGGAAACUAUACAAUAGCUCCUGGUGCUGGUGUUCAACCGUUUGAAGUUUAUUGCGAUAUGGAUUCUUAUCCUGGAACAGGUCGGUACAGAUCGGGAAUCAGCCCAGAUGAGCCUAAACUAUUUAUGUAUAUAUCUUGUUUCAUUCUUUUUCAACUUCAGAAGUUAAUAAUAUGAGAUACAAGUAAUUGCACUCUUGUUGAAUCCAACCUUCAUCAUAAUCUUAUUUUGGGACAGGGAUAACAGUUGUACAUCAUGAUAAAGAAAGUAAGAGUUCCCAACUUACUUACAAUACUGACAACGAUAUUAAAGUCAACUACAAUGUGACUAUGGAACAAAUUAGUGCUCUUAUUAACGGAUCCAAUUACUGCGAGCAAUACAUUGAGGUUAGCUUUUACUUUUUACUUCAAGCAAGGGCUUUUCGCGAAUACUAUGGUCUGGGGAAAUUUAAUCAAUCCAAAAUAUAGAGUAGCUACAACACGUCCCAUGCGUUCUGAACAAACAAACCACUUUUUAUAGUGAUCAUCAAAAGCUCUUGGUCAUUAAAAUGUUAUAGAACACGAAGUUUGCCGCGAAAUGGAACGUUUUGCCAAGCUGUUUCUGGGGGACUUGUUAUUGUGGUUAAUGUAUAAUUCUCAUUGUUCAAAGAUGGAAGUAGUCGCUAUAAGGCUAUUAAUAUCUUAUUUCAUACUUACCCCCAGUUCUACUGGGCACGUUAUUUCACCUAUAAAUGUUCUAUUUUUACGAUAAGUGCUGGUGUUGCGUCAGACCAAUCCGCCAUCUUUUUGUUAACUCCGAGGCUCACUACUAAGCAAGGCGUUACCUCUGCUAGUAUGAAUUGUUACGACUCUGAAUGCUCAGAUAACUGCAUAUUUCCCAAUUAGUGUGAAACUCCCUCAGCGGAGAAAUUUCGUCUUUCUUGGUACAAAAUUUUGCUUUGUAUUAGCUGUAUUAAAAACAAGAUAUUUUGUUACAUAGUUACAUCUUUUCUAUUGUAAUACUCGUUUGUGCACACAUUACAAACUACUUAAAAACUGUACUGAAGCGAGAGGAUCGUUUCGUUAUUAUGUUGUUGUUGUUGGUAUUCUUGUUGUUGUCGUGAAAUAAAUCACCUUUUACUUCAACUACUGGACCAAUUACCUUGAAAUCUUUAGUGGUUAAAGAUUGUUGUUAUCGGCAGAAGUCUAUUAUUACAAUUCAUGGGUCCUAAAUUUUGUAUGAAUUCUAUGAGAUCAGAUAUUUCAUCCAAAAUUUCACUUUUUUAUUCAGGGGAACACCGUUUUAAUUCUGUCAUGCGGUACGUCCUACGUCAACGCUGUCCUCCGUUUUAAUUUUGCGAACUCGGUUCUGUAAGCGUUUGCGACACAUUUCCGUAUGAUUUGCGUGGGUUACCGGCACUGCGGUUGGCGCUCCUGUAGUAUGUGAACCAAGAUGGCGGACACCGGAACAUAGUAUGUGGUGUACCAGGUUAGGGUUAGUCCAUAAUUUUAUUCC